rnacentral:rRNA from 1 species
UACGUAGGGUGCAAGCGUUGUCCGGAUUUAUUGGGCGUAAAGAGCUCGUAGGUGGUUCGGCAAGUCAGUUGUGAAAUCUCCGCGCUCAACGCGGAGGGGUCAGCUGAAACUGCUGUGACUUGAGUCUGGUAGGGGAGUGUGGAAUUCCCGGUGUAGCGGUGAAAUGCGCAGAUAUCGGGAGGAACACCAGUGGCGAAGGCGGCACUCUGGGCCAGUACUGACACUGAGGAGCGAAAGCGUGGGGAGCGAACAGG